rnacentral:lncRNA from 1 species
AAGUUUUCCUCUAUUUAAGGUAUUUUCUACCUAUUUUUGGGUUGAUAUUUAGGCUUCGUUUCGUUCGGGUAUAAGCAAGAACUAGUUAUACCGGGGAUAGGUACAAGUAUGGGUUUUCGUAGGAACAAGGGUAUUUUUUUUUGUUUGGAUGAAAAAUGUGAGUAUAAGCUGGAACUAGAAAAAUUGUGUUUGGAUGAAAAUAUGAGUAUAAGGUGGAAUAGUUGGUAGUUAUAAAUAGAAAAUAAUGAUAUUACCCCUAUAAUUGAAUUUAAAUUUUUAAACUGAAAAUUUUAAAUUGAAAAUUUUAACUUUUACAUUUUAAAAUUUGAAAUUAAAUUUAAAAUUUUAAUUUUCAAAAUUUUAAUUUUAAAUAUCUAUUUUAAAUUUAAGACCAAAUUUAAAUUUGAAAGAUAUAAAAUAUCAAAUUUAAAAUUUAAAAACUAAAAAUAUCAUAUUUAAAAUUUAAAAUUUAAAAAUAUCAAAUUUAAAAUUUAAACUUUAAAAUUUAUAAUUUAAAAUUAUAAAUUAUAAAUUAUAAAAAUUAAAAUUUAAAAUAAAAAUCUCUCUCUCUCUCUCUCUCUUCUCU